rnacentral:rRNA from 1 species
UACGGAGGGGGCCAGCGUUGUUCGGAAUCAUUGGGCGUAAAGGGCGCGUAGGCGGCCAAUCAAGUCCGACGUGAAAUUCCUCGGCUCAACCGAGGGCCUGCGUCGGAUACUGCUUGGCUUGAGUCCCGGAGAGGGUAGUGGAAUUCCCAGUGUAGCGGUGAAAUGCGUAGAUACUGGGAGGAACACCGGUGGCGAAGGCGGGUCUCUGGACAGUUCCUGACGCUGAGGCACGAAGGUCAGGGGAGCAAACGGG